UACGAAGGGGGCUAGCGUUGCUCGGAAUCACUGGGCGUAAAGCGCACGUAGGCGGUCUUUUUAAGUCAGGGGUGAAAUCCUGGAGCUCAACUCCAGAACUGCCUUUGAUACUGAGAGGCUUGAGUCCGGGAGAGGUGAGUGGAACUGCGAGUGUAGAGGUGAAAUUCGUAGAUAUCGCAAGAACACCAGUGGCGAAGGCGGCUCACUGGCCCGGUACUGACGCUGAGGUGCGAAAGCGUGGGGAGCAAACAGG
rnacentral:rRNA from 1 species